GGGGCGGGUAAGCAGCGGUUACCGCCAUCCAGAGGAGAGCAGCCAUCAGCCGUCAGAUUGCAUUUUGUUUUGUGAGUGGAAAGGAGAACCCAACCGGUUGGUCUGGUUCGUGCUGAGGCAUCCCAGAGCAGAAAAACAACUGACAGGUAGACUCAGGCUUAAAGUGAGAGGAUCCCCCACGUCACUGGUUUCAACUAGAGGAUACGUCUGUGCUAUGAGAAUACUCAGUAUGAGAAACGUGCUGCGAAACAGAGGCAGCCAGUUGGAGCAGUGCUUCAGACUAAGCUGAGGUCAGUUUUAGAAUCACAGAAUACUUCAGGCUGGACAGGAACUCUUGAUGUCACCUCAAUCCACGCCCUGCUCAAAGAAGGUCUCACUACGUCAGAUCGCUCAAGGCUGCAGCCAGUCAAGUUGAAC
rnacentral:lncRNA from 1 species